rnacentral:rRNA from 1 species
GAUGAACGCUGACAGAAUGCUUAACACAUACAAGUCAACUUGAAUUUGGGUUUUUAACUUAGGUUUGGGUGGCGGACGGGUGAGUAACGCGUAAAGAACUUGCCUCACAGCUAGGGACAACAUUUGGAAACGAAUGCUAAUACCUAAUAUUAUGAUAAUAGGGCAUCCUAUAAUUAUGAAAGCUAUAAGCGCUGUGAGAGAGCUUUGCGUCCCAUUAGCUAGUUGGAGAGGUAACGGCUCACCAAGGCGAUGAUGGGUAGCCGGCCUGAGAGGGUGAUCGGCCACAAGGGGACUGAGACACGGCCCUUACUCCUACGGGAGGCAGCAGUGGGGAAUAUUGGACAAUGGACCGAGAGUCUGAUCCAGCAAUUCUGUGUGCACGAUGAAGUUUUUCGGAAUGUAAAGUGCUUUCAGUUGGGAAGAAACAAAUGACGGUACCAACAGAAGAAGUGACGGCUAAAUACGUG